rnacentral:miRNA from 1 species
GAGAGAGAGAGAGGAGAGAGAGAGGGAGAGGGAGAGGGAGAGNCUCUCCCUCUCCCUCUCCCUCUCUCUCUCCUCUCUCUCUCUCU